CUCAUCUCAGCUUCCAAAAGUGCUGGGAUUACAGGCAUGAGCCACUGCACCCAGUCUUGUUAAAUAGAAUAGUUCUUAAGAGUAUUUUGCACCUGUGAGGUGGGGAAUGCAAGAGGAAUAUGUCUUGAUUCAGCCCAUCUCUGCAUUGCUACAGCCCCGGUGUCUACUUAUUUCAUGGACCCAGGUGAUCUUCCCAAACAAACGUAAAUUUUUUUCUGAGAUGUGGUCUUAAUACAUUUCCCAGGCCAGACUCAAAUAUUUAUCAGGCUAAACUCAAAUGCCUGUACUCAAGAUAUCCUUCUGCCUCAGCCACUUUCAUAGCUGGAAUUACAGGUGCACCUGGCAAGCACUUAGAGAUAAAUGUUUGUUGAUUUCAAUCACCUUUCAGACCUGGAAGGGAGUUAUUCUGAUGAGCAUUGAACAGCACUGAGGGGAUGAUGCUGAACCAGUCAUGAGAAACCACCCGAUAAUCCAAUUACUUCCCACCUAUAAUGCUGGGGAUCACAUCUUGACAUGAGAUUCGGGCAAGAACAACAUCCACCCUAUAUCAGGCAUCAAGGUGUCUUACAUUAAUGCACCUCUCAAAUUACCACAGUGAUGUCCACAGGACUGUGUCCCAUACGGGCAUUCUUUUCAUAGGCCAGUUUUCCAUUCCUCUCUUGAUUAAUUAUAUGGCUAGGCCAUCAGUCACUUCCCAUAAGUCAGUAAAAACUAAAACAUAGGAGCUUUUAUCAUUGUUCAAUCCUUCCAUCACUGCUAAGAAAAUACUAUGCAAUUCAUCCCACAAGAGUUGUUCUGUUUUUAUCCUCUUUGAUCAAAGGGGAGGACUUCCAAACAGGAUGUUGUCCAUUCAUCUUGCAAAUGCUGUACAUGAACAAACCAGCUCUUUAUGGGUCAGAAGACUGAUACUGCAGUUCAAAUCCCAGGGCAGAAUUCCAUCGUACUUGGGAAAGGCAAAAAGAAAAUGAUACCAACUGCAAAUAUGUAAUGAAGAGCACCAGAAAUGGUCUUUGACAGAUUGGAAUUCUAAUCAUUCAGGGAUUACCAGUAUUGUGCUACCUACUGUAUUAAUAAACAAAAAGGAAACUGGUCUCUAUGAGAAUCUCUAUCUAGUGCCUUCAGGCAAAACUUCACCAGGUUUAAAGAGAAAACCCCUGUCUCUACAACUCCAUUCCCAGGGCGAGCUCACUCUCUGGCAUCAAGUUCCCCGUGGUGAGUUUCCUUGUGGGCGCAGCCUAGGGGGUCUCUCCCUGGUUUCCACAGAUAGAUCCUUGACCAGGACUCAGGUAGACAGUGUGACAAAGAGGCUUGGUGUAGGAGAAGAGGGAUCAG